AGAGGUGUUGACGCUGUGCACAGUGUGGAAUAAUGUAGGGAAAUGUCGGAUGGGAGAAAGCGCUGUGCGGUGUGUCUGCGCUCGCGUCUGUCUCGACCUCCGGCUGCAGAAAUAAUGACGAUGCUGCUGCUGCAUGUCGCGCGCGUGUCGGGUUUACGAUAUACAAUCAUUGGCGAAUUGCUGUGUGUAUAAGAGGACAUGCUGUUGCUCAACAUCAGGGUGGUAACAGUAAGGCCGCUUCAUCACCACCACCUCAUCGUGGAUUCUUUUCCCAUAACAGGACAGUUUUAUUUCUUACUUAAGUCACUAUUUACUUUCAAACCAAUAAAGCUUUUUUACACAGACACGAUUUGUUUUAGCUGCAGAAAUUCUCCAUGCUGCUCCCAAACGAACUAAACGAUGCUUGAUUAUUCUCCAGAAUGUACGAGAAGCGAGCGCUGAAUUGAAAUGAAUUCUCCCUGACACACACACUCAUGCUCUUGGCCCUCAGAUCACAAAAACACCUGACUCUGGGUGUGUUCUGAGAAAAUCUCUGCUCCAAUCUCUGCUCUGUGAUUGAUCCACCUGUCUGCUGCACCUGCAGGCUCUUCAGCUGAGCGUCUGGUGUGUGUCACUUUUCUAAACUCCACACACACACGAAUACACACACAGAGAUACUCGCACACACCCUCAGAGAGCCGUUUCUCCGUGUGCCCAACUCAGAGGAGCAGAUGAACACCGACGCCAGCAUGUGGGAGGAAAACUUUGACACAGAGAAUCAUGGAGUGGGCAGAAAGAGAGAUUACUCCCCAGUGUCCUGGAGCGAAUACUUUGAGAUGAUGGACGACGUGGUGGUGGGAUCAGCAGAAAGCAAGGACGUGUUCCGUGUGUAUAAGAGCGGACAAGAUGGUCCACUGUUGGUGCUGCUGCACGGAGGAGGACAUUCGGCCCUGUCCUGGGCUGUCUUCACUGCGGCCAUGACGAGUAGGGUCACCUGUCGGGUUCUGGCCAUGGAUCUACGAGGACACGGUGCCACUCAAGUCCGGCAUGCCGACGAUCUCUCCACCCAGACCAUGUCUAGAGACGUAGCCAACGUGGUGCGAGCCACAUACGGUGAAGUCCCGCCCCCUAUCAUCCUGGUUGGUCACAGUAUGGGCGGAGCCAUAGCUGUGCACGCAGCCAGUGGAAGUCUGCUGCCCUCGGUGGUAGGCCUGGUCGUUAUCGACGUCGUUGAAGGGAGCGCCAUGGACGUGCUUCACAGCAUGCAGAACUUCCUGAAAGGACGACCCCGAUCCUUUAAGUCCAUCGAUCACGCCAUCGAAUGGAGUGUUAAAAGCGGGCAGAUCAGAAACCUGGAAUCAGCCAAAGUAUCGAUGGUGGGCCAAGUGAGGAGGUGUGAGGUUGAGGAUGGAGACUCGGCUGAGCAGGUGAGCCCGGUGACGGAGAGCGUCGCUGAGGGUCACGAGGAGUUUUACGACCUGAACUACGUCACCGACAAAGCGGAGAGCACGGCAUCGGAGCCCUCCAGUGUGUACAGUUGGAGGAUCGACUUGUCUAAAGCGGAAAAGUACUGGGAUGGCUGGUUCAGAGGAAUUUCUAACCUGUUUCUGGGCUGUAACGUGCCCAAACUGCUGCUGCUUGCAGGUAUCGAUCGAUUGGACAGAGAUUUAACCAUCGGCCAAAUGCAAGGUAAAUUCAUGAUGCAGGUGCUGCCACCUUGUGGUCAUGCCGUGCACGAGGACACACCAGACAAGGUGGCUGACGCUCUUGCUAGCUUCAUGACCAGACACAAGUUUGCUGAAGCUCGCAGCGAAACCAAGAGCUCCUCGUACCCCUUCAUGCGGUGAACUCGAGCCGGUGAGUGUGCCUGGAGACUCCUUCCGAACGAAGUGUUCAGGCUCAAACGCAAAGUGUGAAACUUGUCACUGCAGUGGCUUUCGUACAAUCUUUAAACAAAAAAAGUAUUGAACGUGUGACAAAGCGUCUCAGUGCCAGCAGGCGUCGUCUCCGUGGCGCUCUCUCGAGGCAGGAAACCUCACACACAGCCAGCGGUGGUCUUCUUCUCAUCAACAUUACGAUCAUGACUUUCAAUUGUUUUUCUACGUGCCAGUCUUUACUGCUUCUUCUUCUUCUUGAGAUAUUAAGUCGGCUUCUUUUUCUUCUUUUGUGUGUGUGAUGUAUGUAAACGCAGCGUAGCGACUCGGCAUCAAUUUCUGAAUAAAUGUGAUGGCAUUUCAGUGGGAAUGAAAAGCUUUAGUGUAAACUCACAAUAAAAUUUAUUCAUAUUCAAUUCACAGUCUGAGACACAUGCAAAAUAUUGAGCAGGAAAGAGCAGAAGCUCAAGUGUGAUUUGUUCAAGGUCAGUCUCCAAAUACUGUAGGGGGGUGUGUGUGUGUGUGUACACGUCAUUUGAAAUCAAAUAA